GUGCUGCUGAAGAGUCCCAAACUGAGCUGACGAAACAGCUGUCCAGUAC
rnacentral:hammerhead_ribozyme from 1 species